GGAGUUUGGACCGUCUCUCAGUCCCAAUGUGGCCGGUCGCCCUCUCAGGCCGGCUACGGAUCAUCGCUUUGGUGGGCCGUUACCCCGCCAACUGGCUAAUCCGACGCGGAGCCAUCCUUGUCCGAUAAAUCUUUCCUCUUUCGUUCAUGCGAGCAAAAGAGCGUAUGCGGUAUUGUCAACCGUUUCCAGUUGUUAUCCCCCUGACAAGGGCAGGUUCUCCACGCGUUACUCACCCAUCCGCCACUCGGUUAGAAAGAUCUUUGACAAAUCUCCAAUCUGAAUAACCUCGUUCGACUUGCAUGUGUUAGGCACGCCGCCAGCGUUCAUC
rnacentral:rRNA from 1 species